rnacentral:lncRNA from 1 species
AGCUUUUUGCGGCAAUUGAUGUUAACCUCGAGUAGAUGGUGAAGCCAAAAGAUGUCAGCUUUCUCUAUAAUUUACUGAAGUUUUGAAAUGUAAUCGCUGCUCCUUGAAAGAUAAAGCUUGAUGCUCAUUAAACCUGUAAUAUCGUCAACGAAUGUGAUUGUGAUGUACUGGCUGUGAAAAGAGUUGAAAAUGGACUUAUGCUUCCUUUGUAAC